CCCCCCCCCCACAAAAAAAAAAAAAGAAUGCAUUUGAGGCUGGAGGCUACUCCAGCCUAAAAAAAAAAGAGUGGAAUUUUAGGUGUAGCGGUGAAAUGCGUAGAGAUCUGAAGGAACAUCAGUGUCUACCGCUACACACUGGGCCAUUACUGACGCUGAGGUGCGAAAGCGUGGGUAGCAAACAGGAUUAGAUACCCUGGUAGUCCACGCCCUAAACGAUGUCAACUAGGUGUAUGGAGAAUUUAUUCUUUGUGUAUCGAAGCUAACGCGAUAAGUUGACCGACUGGGGAGUACGGUCGCAAGACUAAAACUCAAAUGAAUUGACGGGGGCCCGCACAAGCGGUGGAGCAUGUGGUUUA
rnacentral:rRNA from 1 species